AUGCGGGGUCUCCUCGCCUUCCUGUGCGCCCUCCUGUUUCCCGGUGGUGUGGCAUCACUCAGGAUGGAGCAGCCCACUAUGGUCGUGGGGCGCCUGGGCAGCUACGCCACGCUGUCCUGCGAAGUCAGCACCUCGGUCAGCUACAUGCACUGGUACCUCCACCAGGAGGGAAGUGCCCCCAAGUGGAUCCUCAGGUUGGAAAUGUCCACAUCAUCUGUUUAUAGAGAUAGAGGCUUGAAAGCAGACAAGGUCAACGCCACGUGUGACAAGUAUAUCAACACCUGUAACCUGUCCGUCCAGAGGCUGGAGAAGAGCGACGAGGGCGUGUACUACUGCGCUGCCUGGGAGUACCACAGCUGCACACGCUGCUCUGCUCCCUGA